rnacentral:rRNA from 1 species
UACGGAGGGUGCAAGCGUUAUCCGGAUUCACUGGGCUUAAAGGGUGCGUAGGAGGGCAGGUAAGUCAGUGGUGAAAUCUUCGAGCUUAACUCGGAAACUGCCGUUGAUACUAUCUGUCUUGAAUACCGUAGAGGUGAGCGGAAUAUGUCAUGUAGCGGUGAAAUGCUUAGAUAUGACAUAGAACACCAAUUGCGAAGGCAGCUCGCUACACGAAUAUUGACUCUGAGGCACGAAAGCGUGGGGAUCAAACAGG